AUUGAACGCUGGCGGCAGGCCUAACACAUGCAAGUCGAGCGGAUGAAGGGAGCUUGCUCCUGGAUUCAGCGGCGGACGGGUGAGUAAUGCCUAGGAAUCUGCCUGGUAGUGGGGGAUAACGUCCGGAAACGGGCGCUAAUAUCGCAUACGUCCUGAUGGUGAAAGUGGGGGAUCUUUGGACCUCACGCUAUCAGAUGAGCCUAGGUCGGAUUAGCUAGUUGGUGGGGUAAAGGCCUACCAAGGCGACGUUCCGUAACUGGUCUGAGAGGAUGAUCAGUCACCCUGGACCUGAGACACGGCCCGAACUCCUAGGGGAGGCAGCGGUGGGGAAUAUUGGACAAUGGGCGAAAGCCUGAUCCAGCCAUGCCGCGUGUGUGAAGAAGGUCUUCGGAUUGUAAAGCACUUUAUGUUGGGAGAAAGGGCAGUAAGUUAAUACCUUGCUGUUUGGACGUUACCAACAGAAUAAGCACCGGCUAACUUCGU
rnacentral:rRNA from 1 species